UACGAAGGGGGCGAGCGUUGUUCGGAUUUACUGGGCGUAAAGGGCGCGUAGGCGGCCUCGCAAGUCGAGUGUGAAAGCCCCGGGCUCAACCUGGGAAUUGCGCUCGAGACUGUGGUGCUGGAGUUCGGGAGAGGAGCGUGGAAUUCCCAGUGUAGAGGUGAAAUUCGUAGAUAUUGGGAAGAACACCGGUGGCGAAGGCGGCGCUCUGGACCGAGACUGACGCUGAGGCGCGAAGGCGUGGGGAGCAAACAGGG
rnacentral:rRNA from 1 species